ensembl:miRNA gga-mir-6578 gga-mir-6578
UGUCUUGCUUUGUAGCUACCAGCUGUGGCAGAGUUCUCCACCAGUGAGACUAUGGGGCACUCUGCUGACCGCUUGGCUGCUGCUUUUGCGAUCUCCCGUGUG